GACGAACGCUGGCGGCGUGCUUAACACAUGCAAGUCGAACGGAAAGGCCCUGCUUUUGUGGGGUGCUCGAGUGGUGAACGGGUGAGUAACACGUGAGUAACCUGCCCUUGACUUUGGGAUAACUUCAGGAAACUGGGGCUAAUACCGGAUAGGAGCUCCUGCUGCAUGGUGGGGGUUGGAAAGUUUCGGCGGUUGGGGAUGGACUCGCGGCUUAUCAGCUUGUUGGUGGGGUAGUGGCUUACCAAGGCUUUGACGGGUAGCCGGCCUGAGAGGGUGACCGGCCACAUUGGGACUGAGGUACGGCCCAGACUCCUACGGGAGGCAGCAGUGGGGAAUAUUGCACAAUGGGCGGAAGCCUGAUGCAGCAACGCCGCGUGCGGGAUGACGGCCUUCGGGUUGUAAACCGCUUUCGCCUGUGACGAAGCGUGAGUGACGGUAAUGGGUAAAGAAGCACCGGCUAACUACGUG
rnacentral:rRNA from 1 species